UACGGAGGGUGCAAGCGUUGCUCGGAAUUAUUGGGCGUAAAGGGCAGGUAGGUGGUCUCAUUUGUCUGGGGUGAAAGCCUUGAGCUUAACUCAAGAAGUGCCCCAGAAACGGUGAGACUGGAGUCCUGGAGAGGGUCGUGGAAUUCCCGGUGUAGCGGUGAAAUGCGUAGAGAUCGGGAGGAACACCAGCGGCGAAAGCGGCGACCUGGACAGGCACUGACACUCAACUGCGAAAGCGUGGGGAGCAAACAGG
rnacentral:rRNA from 1 species